AUGCAAAAUAGGCAGCCUUACAUCAGCUUCCUGGCGAGGAUCACACUUCCAGCUGGGGCGUGAGACCAGCUGCACUCUGGCCAUGGUUUUGCAGAGUGCUCUGGAGGCAGUGUGGCUGGGGCUCCUCCUCAGCUCUCCUUGGAAGCUUGCAGAGAGCAAGGACCAAGUGUUUCAGCCUCCUGGCAUGGCUUCUCCGGAGGGCGCUGUGGUGGAAAUCUCCUGCAAUCACUCUAUAUCUAAUGCUUACACCUUCUUCUGGUACCUUCACAUCCCAGGACACGCUCCAAGACUCCUGGUUCGGGGUUCCAGGUCUUCUCAGCAGGGACGCUACAACAUGACGAAUGAGCGAUUCUCCUCACUGCUGCUUAUCCCCCAGGUGCAGGUGGAAGAUGCUGCCACUUACUAUUGUGCUCUGGAGGGCACAGAGGCAGGGAGCCUAUGAAGAGCUGAGCAGAAACAGGAAGGGGCACAGCCUUUGCAGGAAGCGGAAAAGAGGGGAGCCAUAACUGCUUUCCUCCCUGAUUCAGCGUGCCCCAAGCAUGUCCACUUGGCACUAUCAGAAAACAUUUUGAGUGCAGACACACUAUGUGAGAGCAGAUGGACAUGGGAAAAUAUGCUUGUAGGGGUUGAUUCAGUAAUGGUGCUACAGAUCAGUACUUCAAACAGUUUUCUGGAUAA